CACGUAGGGCGCGAGCGUUGUCCGGAAUUAUUGGGCGUAAAGAGCUCGUAGGCGGUUUGUUGCGUCGGCUGUGAAAUCCCGAGGCUCAACCUCGGGUCUGCAGUCGAUACGAGCAAACUAGAGUGUUGCAGGGGAGACUGGAAUUCCUGGUGUAGCGGUGAAAUGACGCAGAUAUCAGGAGGAACACCGGUGGCGAAGGCGGGUCUCUGGGCAACAACUGACGCUGGAGGAGCGAAAAGCGUGGGGAGCGAACAGG
rnacentral:rRNA from 1 species